GAUGAAGAACGUAGUGAAAUGCGAUACUUGGUGUGAAUUGCAGAAUCCCGUGAACCAUCGAGUCUUUGAACGCAAGUUGCGCCCGAAGCCACUAGGCCGAGGGCACGCCUGCCUGGGCGUCACACGCCGUUGCCCCCCCAUCUACUCCUUCGGGAUUGCGGGGGGGCGGAUGAUGGCCUCCUGUGCGCCUAGCCGCGCGGUUGGCAUAAAUACCAAGUCCUCGGCGACGCACGCCACGACAAUCGGUGGUUGCGAAACCUCGGUUGCCCGUCGUGUGCGUUCGUCGCGCAUCGAAGGCUCGAAAAAAUGCUCGGCUCCGGCUGGGCUUUCAACGCGACCCCAGGUCAGGCGGGGUUACCCGCUGAAUUUAAGCAUAUCAAUAAGCGGAGGA
rnacentral:misc_RNA from 1 species